AAAACGGCCCUUUUCAGGGCCACCCAAAAUCUCAAA
rfam:Lottia gigantea unplaced genomic scaffold LOTGIsca_13912, whole genome shotgun sequence.